GACAAGUUGGCCGAGUGGUCUAAGGCGCUGCGUUCAGGUCGCAGUCCGAAAGGGCGUGGGUUCGAAUCCCACACUUGUCA